UAACUGAUUGAAGCUCUUCUCUUCUUUCAAAUCGCAUCUCUCAAGUGAGAAGAAAAGGCCCUCCACGAGCGGUGGGAAAGCAAGGGCGUAGCAGGAAGAAGAAGUAUGAAAGCAGCAAAUCUUUCCUCCUCUGAUGAGGCUUAGUUCAGCUAGCCCUAGACAGAUCACAUCUCAUUAGAAAGGCAGGUAUUUUCUUUUUUAUUUAGGAUCU
rnacentral:lncRNA from 1 species